CACGUAGGGCGCAAGCGUUGUCCGGAAUUAUUGGGCGUAAAGAGCUCGUAGGCGGUCUGUUGCGUCUGCUGUGAAAACUCGGGGCUUAACCCCGAGCCUGCAGUGGAUACGGGCAGACUAGAGGUAGGUAGGGGAGAAUGGAAUUCCCGGUGUAGCGGUGAAAUGCGCAGAUAUCGGGAGGAACACCGGUGGCGAAGGCGGUUCUCUGGGCCUUCCCUGACGCUGAGGAGCGAAAGCGUGGGGAGCAAACAGG
rnacentral:rRNA from 1 species